rnacentral:pre_miRNA from 1 species
CCCACACCCAUGUGUGUAGGACUCUAAAAGAUCACCAUUAAAUUUAGCACAGAUCUUUAGAAAAGUUAUCAUAUGGGUGUUGGACUUGAAUUUUCUAUAUAUCUAUGUUAAAUUUAAUGGUGAUCCUUUGGGGUCCUACACACAUGGGUGUGGG